GGUGCGCAGAAACACUCUGUCUUCCUGCUUUGAGGACAGCUGAAGUCUUGCCACUUCUUCUGGAUGCUCUGACCAUCAGUAAGCCACCUCAGUCUCACCCUCCGCAGAAUGCAGGCCCACUCCGUUGCUGAAGGGCCUCCUCCUUGGGCCAGGGCGCCUGCUUCUGCCAGUGGCAUCAUCACCCCACUCCUCAGCCGCCAGUCAUCAGAGACACGGUCUGACUUUGUUACCCCGGCUGGAGUGCAGUGGUGCAAUCAUGGCUCACUGCAGCCUUAACCUCCUGGGCUCAAGUGAUCCUCUCGCCAAGGCUAGGAUAAGUAGCUAGGACUACAGAUGCGCCCCAUCACGCCCAGCUAAUUUUACAACUUCUGUAGAGAUGGAGUGUUGCUGGGUUGCCCAGGCUGGUCUUGAAUUCCUGGGCUCAAGCGAUCCUCCUGUGUCCGGAAUUGGUGGGUUCUUGGUCUCACUGACUUCAAGAAUGAAGCCGCGGACCCUCGCGAGUCUGUAUCCACCAGCUACUCUUCCAGAUUCAUGAGGCAAGGCCUGCCUGCUCACCUGGCUGGCCCCAAGCACCUCUUCAACCUGUUGCCACCGUCCUGCCUUGCUGCCCUUCUCAGCUCAUCCAGCAGGGUCUCCAAGUCGUGGAAACAGAAGCACAUAUACACACAUGCUCAUAUGUACAUGCCCACAGUCACAUAAGCACACCGAGAAACACCAUCGCAGACAUGUUCUCACAAGCACAUGUGCAUAACACUCACUACCCCUCACGCGUAUACACAUUAAUACACACACUCAUGCACACUCAGUCUUACACACACAGACACACAGCCAUAAUCACUGUUGUUGGUUGAAUUGUGCCCCCCCAUCCCCACCAAAAAGAUAAGUUGGAGUCCUAACCCCCAGUACCUGGGGAUGUGACCGUAGUUGGAAAUAGGGUGUUUGUAGAUGUAAUCAAAUUAAGAUGAGAUCUUACUGGAUUAGAGUGGGCCUUAAAUCCAGUGACUGGUGUCCUUAUAAGGAGAAAAAGAUUUGAAAACAGAGACAUGGAGACACAGAGCAGAAGGCCAUGUGAUGAUGGAGUCAGAGAUUGGAGUGAUGCAGCUAUGAGCCGAGAAAUACCAAGGUGCUGGCAGCCCCCAGAAGCAAGGAGAGAGGCAAGGAACAAUCUCCAUCAGAGCCUCUGGAAGAAACAGACUCUGCCAACACCUUGAUUUCAGACUUUUGGCCUCCUUCACUGUGCGAGAAUACGUUUCUGUUGUUUUAAACUACUGAGUCACCAAGUCUGUGGUACUGUGUUAUGGCAGCCCCGGCAACAAAUCCAAUCACACACACACACACACACACACACACACACACACACACACACACACACACAGCUGGCUCCAGGCUCAGUGAUGAGCUCAGAGGAGUUCCCCUUGGGAGCUGCUCUUUCUCUGUCUUCCUUCCUUAGUGAUUGGUCCAGUGGAUCCACAAAAGCUCAUGGCCCAGAGCAGGAGCCCAGUCAUUUUUAAUUCCUCUUCCCUGGAGUUCUUAACCAUGCGUUGCCCUCAAAAUCUGCUCUCAAGAUUUGGGUUGCCAUAUUUAGGAGCACCAGAAAACAUACAGGAAUGCUGUGUCUGCUUGCAUCAUAUUAAUUAAAAACUGGAAAUAACCUAAAUGUCCCAGAAUAGGUACAUAAACUGUGGCAUAUCCACUUAAUGGAAUACUACUCAGCAAUACAAAAGGAAAACCUAGUGUUACUUGAGCAACAUGGAUGAACUUCACAGACAUAAUAUUGCACAGCACGAGGCAGACACAAAAGUGUGCAUAUGCUAUGAUUCCAUUUACAUGAGAUUCAAGAACAGGCAAAGCAGAUCUAUGGGGAUAGAAGUCAGAAUAGUGGUUACCUCUGGAAGGUGGAAUUGACUGGGAGGGGCUUCAGGGAACCUCCUGGGGUGCUGAAAACAUUCUGUGCUUGCACCGGGUGGUGGUUAUGUGGGCAUUACAUAAAAUUCACCAAGCUGCACCCUUAAUGAUUUGUACAAUUUGAUGCACAAAUCUAACAUCUCAAGAAGAAUAAAUUUUACAAAGUACCUAAGAAGCAAAUGACCAGAA
rnacentral:lncRNA from 1 species